ensembl:lncRNA
AGGACCCUGAGUGAAGGGAAUUAUAUUUUGAUUCCAUUAAGGAAUCUUGUGUGUAUUCGAUUGCCAGGUACUUCCGCUAAUUGUUUGCAAUGCCUUUCUUUGUGUUUACUCGGGGUGUGUAUGUGUGUGUGUACCACGUUUUCCUGCGAGCACACCGCGCCACACAAAUACACACGCUGUCGAAGGCUGUGACUCGCCCAGAAACACUACACAUGCCGGUGUUAUUACUAUGCAAGUGGAUUCUUCUAAUUAUUGUGUCAAUUCUUGUAUUUUAUUUUUGGGGUUAUUUUUUUCCCAUUGACAAAAAAAGCAAAAAAAAAUGUAUCCCAAAAAAAAAAAAAAAAACACUCACUGCUUGUUGGACUAGAGUGAUGUUACUGACUGUCAGACUUCUCAAGCCAACACAUGUAAACUCUAGCCCCCAUCCCCUGACCCCCACCCGUGCCACAACUCCCUUGUGUUUGUAUGAAGGCCAUAAUGUGUUUUAGACCCAGUAUUUCUGCAUCUUGUCAGUCAAAUGUAAGGAACAAGGGGGAUGUUAAUGUCAGUGGUCGGGUCUGAGUCUGUGUAGUGUGUGACAUAGUGAAACGUGUGUGAGAAAGACUCGUGACUCGCCACCACAGUUGAAUUUUUCUUUUUCUUUGGUAAUCGUACGCCCGACCGUUCACGAACGAGCGCCACCCACAGAGCGACUUGCUCUCUGCAGGUGCUCUUCGCAAAGGGCCAAAGUGUCCGUCAACAAUUCCUGACUUUUUCUUACUUGCACGCAUUCACUGCUGUUGCACUGUUUUGUUUUGGGGUUUUUUUUGUUUUGUUUUUUGUUGUUGAACCAUGGCAGCUCGGAUCUGUCGGUCAGAACUGCACAGCAGGUUUGCUGUUUUGGCCGAUAGGUCACAGGGCAGAGCUGAUUACGAGCUAAUCAUAACCUCCAGCUUACAAAUUCCUUUCAUACUUAAUAAAUUUGACCAGAAAAAUCAAAAUCAUUGACCAAUGGAAAGGGUGAGAAGUUCUUGAUGUUUUCUGGCGUAUACACUCUCACCCUAUUAUUCCCUAUUACAUUUUUUUUUUUUUUUUUUUCAUAGAUAAUUUUCCGUCUGUAGGGUAAUAAUCAGAAUUGAACAUUCAGCACUGACUUUCAUGCAGUUGUAGGCCAAUAGUAAUUUGAUAACAAGAGGAAUGACGUUACCCUUUCAAACUGAGAUUCUUACAGCCGCGUUUUGCUUCUAGAGCUCAGAACCAGCAAUGAUUUGAGACAAAAAAAAUUAAAUUGGGGAUCGAAAGCUGUUGGCUCUGUUAGAGUUGCCUGCAAUCUUAACAGCAAAGACUGACAUGCAGUAUCCAAGGAAGUCUAUGGAAUAAAGAAUUGUGCAUCUCAGCGGUCCGGUGUAGCCAACUCACCCUGUCUACUUUCCUUUGUUCCUUUUUCCUCACCAGAGGGUCAAAACAAUUAGGUCAAAGCUUCAGUUGCGCUCUUCCACAUUGUCCUGACUUCUCCCGAUGGUUUUAAAAGUGAGAUUUUGCCAUACACAUGUACAUGUAGAUGCAAUGUAAUAUUAACACCCCCCCCCUCUUCAUUGCAAUACAAUGAGGGAUUUUAAACUGGUGGCUGCUGUUCAGAGAAAGAUGGCAGCCCCUCAGUGUCCUGGCUGAUUCAUGUGAGCAGUGACCCUCGAAAUGGACACCAGUGGCCAGAGGGAACCACUGCCCAGCUUUUCUUUUUUUCUUUUUGUUCUUUUUGACAUUUUUAUGUAAAUAUUUUUUUUCUAUUUUAUUUUUUAAUAAACAUUUUAAAACUGCCAGUCUGUGUGUGGGUUUGUCUAUUUGAUUUAAGUGUGAGUGACGGAGUCACACAAGCCUAGGAACUGGUUUGCAACCACCAGUUGCUAAGAAAACAUGAAUAUUCCUCGAUUUCUGCGAGUUUUCGAGUGGUUGCUGGGAGAAAUUGGUUGAAAAGGUCACGCCUGGAUUGAGUGGAAGAUGUCUGCAAACACUAAAUAAUUGCAAAGUGGUAGUGAACCUGAAAAGUGCUACGUACA